rnacentral:rRNA from 1 species
AGUGAACGCUGGCGGCGUGCUUAACACAUGCAAGUCGAACGAUGAACCUAGCUUGCUAGGGGAUUAGUGGCGCACGGGUGAGUAAUAUAUAGUUAAUGUACCUCGAAGACUGGGAUAGCCAUUGGAAACGAUGAUUAAUACUGGAUAUACCUUCUAAACUCAAGUUUAGUUGGGAAACGUUUUUUCGCUUUGAGAUCAGACUAUAUCCCAUCAGCUAGUUGGUAGUGUAAGAGACUACCAAGGCAAUGACGGGUAGCGGGUUUGAGAGGAUGAUCCGCCACACUGGUACUGAGACACGGACCAGACUCCUACGGGAGGCAGCAGUGAGGAAUAUUGCACAAUGGAGGAAACUCUGAUGCAGCAACGCCGCGUGGAGGAUGACGCAUUUCGGUGUGUAAACUCCUUUUAUGAGUCAAGAAAAUGACGGUAGCUCAUGAAUAAGCACCGGCUAACUCCGUGCCAGCAGCCGCGGUAAUAC